rnacentral:rRNA from 1 species
UAGCUUGCUACCUGACCUAGCGGCGGACGGGUGAGUAAUGCUUAGGAAUCUGCCUAUUAGUGGGGGACAACAUUCCGAAAGGAAUGCUAAUACCGCAUACGUCCUACGGGAGAAAGCAGGGGAUCUUCGGACCUUGCGCUAAUAGAUGAGCCUAAGUCAGAUUAGCUAGUUGGUGGGGUAAAGGCCUACCAAGGCGACGAUCUGUAGCGGGUCUGAGAGGAUGAUCCGCCACACUGGGACUGAGACACGGCCCAGACUCCUACGGGAGGCAGCAGUGGGGAAUAUUGGACAAUGGGCGAAAGCCUGAUCCAGCCAUGCCGCGUGUGUGAAGAAGGCCUUUUGGUUGUAAAGCACUUUAAGCGAGGAGGAGGCUACUGAGAUUAAUACUCUUGGAUAGUGGACGUUACUCGCAGAAUAAGCACCGGCUAACUCUGUGCCAGCAGCCGCGGUAAUACAGAGGGUGCGAGCGUUAAUCGGAUUUACUGGGCGUAAAGCGUGCGUAGGCGGCUUUUUAAGUCGGAUGUGAAAUCCCUGAGCUUAACUUAGGAAUUGCAUUCGAUACUGGGAAGCUAGAGUAUGGGAGAGGAUGGUAGAAUUCCAGGUGUAGCGGUGAAAUGCGUAGAGAUCUGGAGGAAUACCGAUGGCGAAGGCAGCCAUCUGGCCUAAUACUGACGCUGAGGUACGAAAGCAUGGGGAGCAAACAGGAUUAGAUACCCUGGUAGUCCAUGCCGUAAACGAUGUCUACUAGCCGUUGGGGCCUUUGAGGCUUUAGUGGCGCAGCUAACGCGAUAAGUAGACCGCCUGGGGAGUACGGUCGCAAGACUAAAACUCAAAUGAAUUGACGGGGGCCCGCACAAGCGGUGGAGCAUGUGGUUUAAUUCGAUGCAACGCGAAGAACCUUACCUGGUCUUGACAUAGUAAGAACUUUCCAGAGAUGGAUUGGUGCCUUCGGGAACUUACAUACAGGUGCUGCAUGGCUGUCGUCAGCUCGUGUCGUGAGAUGUUGGGUUAAGUCCCGCAACGAGCGCAACCCUUUUCCUUAUUUGCCAGCGGGUUAAGCCGGGAACUUUAAGGAUACUGCCAGUGACAAACUGGAGGAAGGCGGGGACGACGUCAAGUCAUCAUGGCCCUUACGACCAGGGCUACACACGUGCUACAAUGGUCGGUACAAAGGGUUGCUACCUAGCGAUAGGAUGCUAAUCUCAAAAAGCCGAUCGUAGUCCGGAUUGGAGUCUGCAACUCGACUCCAUGAAGUCG